rnacentral:rRNA from 1 species
AUGUACUUUCAAUCUUUUGACUUUGUCUUCUAUUUGCAUCUCAUGUUGAUAAUCCUCACUACUACCAACACAUUGUCAUUAGCAUUGCAACGGAAGGAUCAAGACAUAGUGAAUGCCAUGAAAUGUGUCAAGUCAACUAGAACAGUUUUGAAUGAACUUAGAGAAAAUGGAUGGGACUCUUUGGUAGGUGAAGUUCAUGUGUUUUGUGAGAAACAUGAUAUUAUAGAAUUUGACAUGGAAGAAGCAUAUGUGAAUCCAAAAAAGAGAAGGCAGAUAACUGGAAUUACCAACAAACAUCACUAUCAAGUUGAUUGCUUCAACGAUGUUUUUGAUUGGCUAGUUCAAGAGGUUGACAAUAGGUUCAGUGAGACAUUUUCUAACUUGCUUGUUUGGUCAGCAGCUUUGAGUCCAAGAGACUCAUUUCGUGAUUUCAAUUUGGAGAAUAUUAUGAGUUUGGCUAACUUAUACCCUUAG